rnacentral:lncRNA from 1 species
ACUCGUUUUCAUUCGGAGGAGUAUAAAUUUGUCAGCAGAAAUUAUCAUAUCAUACUUGCAACAUUCUGAUCAUCGAAAUAGCUUCAAGUAAGUUAAUUUUCUCUUUCAUUUAACUUUCAUUAUCUUUUUUAUGUUAUAGCAUUGUUAAAAACUAUCUUAAGAAUUGGGUGUAUAAUAGCAGAUCGAACAUAACUUUGUAUCAAACGGGAAAUGAAAAUUGAAUACCAGUUAUCAUGUUUAAUCAAAUUUUUAGAGGAAAGAAUUUUUGUCGAGCCUUCUGUACAUCUGCAAUGCUGUAUAUAAACGGUACAUAUGUAAAGCUGUAUAGAAACGGUACAUAUGUUAAGCUGUAUAGAAACGGUACAUAUGUUAAGCUGUAUAUACACUUUUAAUCUGUAAAACUGUAUAUAAACUGUGGAUAGAUAUCGUAUAACACAAGAUACAGUCCCUGUGAUAGAAUCUAUAUGUUAAGCUUAUACACAAAUUACAAAUGUCAAAUUAAUGUACAUUCUUACAGAGUUGCAGUUUAUAUGCAGCUUUUAAGAUAUACAGUUUGUAUAUUAUAAUUUUACAGAUGUACAGUUUAUAUACAGCUUUACAGAUGUAGAGUUCAUAUACAGCUUUACGGCUGUACAGUUCAUAUACAGCUUUACAGUUGUACAUUUGAUAUGCAUCUUUAGAACUGUACAUCAAGAUUACUUGUACUAAAGUAACUGAGUACAUUCUGUCGGCGGCGGCGGCGGCGUCCACAAAUAUUCUCUUUGUGAUUAAAGUUUUAGAAAUUUUAAUAACUUUCUAAAACUGUCCUGGAUUUUUACCAAACUUGGACAGAAGCUUGUUAAUGAUCAUAAGAUAGUAUCCUGAAGUAAAUUUUGUAUAAAAAAAUCAUUUUUCCGUAUUUUACUUAUAAAUGAACUUAGUUUUUCUGCCAGGAAACAUUACAUUCACUCUGUGGUUAAAUUUUUUUUUUAAAUUUUAAUAACUUUUUUAAACUAUCCUGGAUUUUUACCCAACUUGGACAGAAGCUUGUUAAUGAUCAUUAGAUAGUAUUGAGAGGAGUUUUUAUUGAUUUUUAUUCUCAUUUUUGUUGAGCGUGCGAUUAACAGCAAAAGUAGGCAAGACACUAGGUUCCGUGGUACUCUUACGAUUUUUUUAUGGAAAAUUUCACUCCUGCAAUUGCAAAAAUGUGGUAUUUCAGCCUUUUUUUUAUAGAAAUGAGAAGAUCAGGUAUGAAUGCCAAUAAGAAAACUCGCAAUUCAAUUUACAAAGUGUAAAAAGUGCACCAUUAUAGGUCAAAGUAUGGCCCCCAACACGGAUACUUUGGCAAUCCGACCACAUCUCCUUAUUACUAUAUACAAUGUAUGUUCCGCCAAAAUACAAAAAAGUUAACCCAUAAUAAUGUUUUUACAGCAAUUCAGUCUUUCCUUUUUUUACUUUCCAAUCUACUAAUGACCAUUAUUUGUUGAAAUAACCAAUGUCACGUGAUAUUCUUUCCAUAGAGGUACACUAUCAAAGAUAUUGAUAACUACCCGUAUCAAUGUCGAGCAUUUUCGAGACGUUCUGAGAAACAAAAAAAUCGAUGAUAUGAAAUGGCCUACAAAAACCUAACAAUAUAUAGUUUAAAUAUGAAUAUAUAGGUAUAUAAGUAUACCUAUAUAUCAGAACAUUCACUGGAGUGAUGCCCAGGGACAGGGAAAGGAAAUUAAUUUACAUCAUCCAAACGACAUCAAUCAUAAAACCAAACUUUUGUUUUUCAAUCUUUUUGUAAUGUAAAUAUACAGUCACGUAUAUUGGAGGAUCUAGUUUUGUUUAUAUAAAUAUGAUGUUCAAGAUUAUUGAUAACAAUCAAUAGACAAAAACUUACACUUUUUUGCGCCUACAUCAGCAUUUUUAAAACUAUUGACACUGACGAUCUCUAUUUGUUAAGCCGAAAUAUUUGUAAACACGAUUUAAUAACAACAUUUUCGUAUAAUGCCAUCUUAUAUUAGUACCGUUGUGCAAAUUUUUAGACUAAUAUAUUUUUCCCCUUAUCUGCAAAGUAUAGUCUAUUAUAGACGAUCCGGUAAACAGUAAACUUGCUGGUUGGUCUUUUUAAUAGACUUAUAUAUAUAGAGAGAGGGGGAAAAGAUGAAAAUGCACCAAAUAUUUAUAUUCAAUAUGAAUAUUUACAUUUUGUCUAUUAUAAUAUCAAAAUGUUCAUAAUGUUCUCCAUCUUAUCCUCCAUAGUAUCAUCUCGGUUUCACUUUUAUACAUAUUUUCAAGGAUAUGGUUGCUGGCGACGUCGACAGAGGUAACGUCUAUUAACGACAUUAUUAUUUAGUCCUGAACGUCAUAAUAUAGCAUAACGUAGGUUCUGUUUAAAACGAAAGUGAAAGUACAUAAUUAAAAAGAAAUGCCUUCUAGAUUCUUGUUUCAACUAUUUAAUAUCGGAUGGUAUUUCUUAAUAAAUUCAUGUUCUUUAUUAAUUCUCAUUGGUUCCGUUGUAUUAUCUGAGCACUAAUGAUAUGGAAAAAUGAAGAAAUUUUGUUGAUUUGAUCGAGCGCAUCUAUUAAAAUGUUCGCUAAACGGGAUUUUUUUGUGCUCAAGACUCGAAUUUGCAGUCUAUGUACUGUCAUACGUUUUCUUAUGGUGUUACCGGUUUGUCCAAUAUCAUUUUCUUGACAACCCUUGCUUGAAGAUUUUCCGAUGCACAUAUAAAACUGAUCUUGAUUUUGAAAAUAUUUCCGGAUUUAAAGACGAAUUCGGUUCCUUCUGAUAAGUAUAAACAAGAUUCACAACUUGGUCGUUCACAUUUUUGUAUCUUUAAUUUUUUGGAUGUCGUUUGCUUUUAAUUACUUUGUGUGAAUUAAAUAAUCCUUGUUUUGUGUGAAACCGGUAGGAUACUAUGGAGGAUACUUUGGAGAACAUUAUGAACAAUUUGAUAUUUUAAAAGACUUUUAAAUAUUUAGUGCAUUUUCAGCUUUAUUUUUUUCCUAUCUUGUGCACAGCGUUGACAAAAUUUAAAAACUCUUCAAUAUAUAUUGCUUUGGCAAAGUUUUUGUUCUUCCCUAGCCGGGAUUCAAACUCGUGUCUACUGAGAUAUCGUUACAUCAAAUCGCCUUGCACUUCAUCCGACACGCUAGACCACUCUGCUACCUAGGUUUCACAAUAAUAAAGCUUUCGGUGGCCGAGUGUUACCUUUCCUUGUCAGUUUUAAUUUAGCGCCGUAAUACAUUACAUGAUAUAUAAGGCAUGAAGAUGAAUUUGUUACAGAUCAGCUGAAAUAUCUUUUGUUAAGGAUUCUACAAAUUAAUGCAAGAUACAGUCACAGACAUAGUUAUAUUUAUAGGAACGUUUGAACCAGUGACAACUCUACACCAUAUUUGUCCAUCAGAUCACCAGCAGUGAUGGUGAUACCAGGCUGUGUACACUCUGUAUAUAUAAUUAGUAUAAACAGAUCUAUAUAUAUAUAAUAUCAUGCCAAAAUAUACCGUCUAUUAUUAUAAUAUAGUCUAUUAUUAUUCUUUUUAGAGUGGCUCCUGUUUUAUAUGUGAAUUUAUAAUUUGUAAUUGUUUUGUAGAUUUGUUAGAUAUGAAACUUAAAUCAAAUCUUGUCUUGUCUUGUCUUGAAUCAAAUAUUGAUUUGUUUAUAUUUACAGAUAUUGACCUGGAACAUUAUGGGUGUGAGUAUUUUGGCAUGAUAAUUAAUAAAGAUCAAAGAGUUUAGGACUAUCAAAAUAUAAACUAUGCAUUUCGUAUAAUUUAUUUUUUUGUAUUUUUCGUUGUUGCACACAUAUAGAUAAUUAUUUCUUUUUUAUCAGUUAGUCUUUUAGGUAUAUACUAUGACAUUUGGAGCGAGGUGCUUGCCUUAAGUUCUUAAUUAAAUAGUAUAUACAUUUUCAUACACUAUCCAUGAUAGGUAAAUAUGUAAAACAAAUAAAGAACAGCAGUCAACAUUGUGCAUUAUUAUACUUCAUGUGUAAAUGUCAUACUGUGAAUGGCUAAUACGCUGGAGAUCAUUUACUUUAUCCCAUGGCUGAGCGGGAGACAAUUUUUUAAAUGUCAUCUUGUCGUUUAUACCAAUCAAAGAUGACAAUGAAUUUCAUUUACACCAAGUUAGUAAGUUUUUCAUGUGACUGUCAAAAUAAAUAAAAAAAACAUAUUGCUUCUUUUCUGAUGAUUUUUCUAUUACCUGUAACAUUGUUAUUUACGUGAGGUCAUAGAAUAUACUUUUAUAAUCAAAAAAAGAAAUUAUCUGUAUAAGACAAUAAUGAUAGCACAUUCAGUUUAAUAAAUUGAAUAACACAUAGCUUAGUACCCCUCGAAAAAGUAUUGUCAACCUUGACUUUGUUUUCUCGGGGUCACAAUCUGCUCUAUCACCCUCUCAGCUAUGUAUUAUUUGUAUACUAAUCUUAUUCAUAGUCGUUUGUUUGAUAUAUGAUUCUGUGGACACGUUUGGGGGAAUUGGAAACAUUUGAGAAAAUGAGAACGUUUAAGUAGGUAACAUAUUAUAUAGCAUAUUUAAAGACUCAAAUAGAGAUCAAAGCGAAUGUUCCUGAUUUUGUUUUUUGCAGUCUUACAAUGGAAUAUCGGGGAAAUGGAUCGGAUUUUAUAUACAGAAUCAGAAACGAUAUGCCUUUGAGAUGACACUCAACUUUGAAGGAGAGAAAAUAAAAGGCGAAGGGGAAGACGAGAUUGGUAAAUUCAGUUUUAAUGGUACAUUAAACUUUUGCACUGGUACAAUACAGAUUGAAAAGCAAUACUACGGUAAACACACUGUGUCGUACAAUGGCAACCUUUCUCGGGAUGGUCGUUCCAUAGAUGGGAAAUAUGAUGUUCCUUGUGGUGAUUCCGACAGCUAUAUGAUGUCAUGGAUGAAAUAGCCUUUUUCGAAUGCCUUAGACAUACAGUGAUAGACUAUCUUACUUCAUAUAAACAUUUUAUGCCUUUCCAUAUAUGAGCUUAACUGUUAGCUGACACAAAUUUUUCUCAUCCUAAUAAAUCUGUUAUAUUAAUCGAUUCCUUUUUUGGCGUGAACCCUCAUAGGGGUUCAUGCCUCUAUAUUAGUGAGUUUUUGGAUAUGUGUAUGCUAAAACGUAUAUCCAAAUUUUAUAAGUCUUUUAUAAACAAUUUACAAGGCAUAGGCUCCAUAAUAUGUUUCUUCGUUUUGUAUGAAUCUUAGACGCCAUCUAAUUAAAAAUAGAGUCGAAGACUGCCG